rnacentral:lncRNA from 1 species
UUAGAAUCAGGAGCAGAUGCUAAUGGUGUUGCCUGUGGCACAGAUAUAGGAUCAGUAACUAGUGGCAAGCCAGCACUUGUAUCAGUGGCUCUAGUAGUUGGUAGAGAAAAGGGAAGCAAAUUAGUAUCCUGAGAUAGGGUAGGAGGUGCAGCAAUAGGAGCCUUGUUCGAAAACAAAGGAGGUGCCAUCUCUGAAGCUAGGGAAGGAGAUGGUGCUGACUGCAACGUUGAUUGGAGGCCUGAAGACAGCGUCAUAGGUAAACCAGUAAAAGGCAAAGAACUGGGUGCUAGAGCUUGAGAACUGCUACUAUAAGGAAACAGUGACGAAGGUGGUUCCGGCAAGCUUGAGCCCUGCAAAUUUGAUGAGCCAGCAGGUGGAGGGGCAUUAAAGUUAGGAUACGGAAUGGGUUGCGGCAGGGAACCGGGCAUAGGCAGCCCAUGAGGAGGCCGAAUCAAAGACUGUUGAUGCAACUGGGGAAGGCCAUUGGGAGGUGGGGUGUAGUAUCCUUGCCAAUACAUUGGUGGUUGAGGUGAGGCUCCCCAAGGAGCAAGAUUUCCACCAGGCUGAUACAAAGGCAUUGAGUUUUGGAAUCCCAUCCCAUGCUGCCCAGGUUGUCCAUUAUGAGAACUAAUGUCAGGCAUUGAACUGCUCACGGCGGGAGGCAAGCCACUAGAUGUUGGGAUCGGGCUAGGAUAAUGAGACUGCAAAACAGAGACAAUCGGGGCAUGAAGACACAUCUCUACAAGAUUACUCUACAACAUCUCCAUUAUAUUCACCUGAAUUAUAGCAGGAUCAUUGUUUAAGGUAGGUGGAGCUGGAGGCUGAACUGGUGGAGAGGCUUUGACUUGCAAAUCCUGCCAAUAACAAGAAGAGUCAGUGCACAAACAGAGAUAGUUACAUCAAAGCAUACGCACAAUCCUGUUUGGAUACCUUGAUAUCGGUUCCACGGAACAAUAUGUACUCAUAAACUUUCUCACUUGGAGGAACUUGAGGACCAUCUUUUUUCCUUCCUUCAGUUCCAAAUGAUCGGACUACAUACGUUGAAAAUCACACAGAUCAGUACAUACUAAGCUUAUUCAAAGAUUCACCAACAGUUUCAAGACUUUGAUUACAAUCUGAUGAGCUUAGAUAGUAGACAUGAGCACAACUUAUUAAUGAAGAUCCAAUCACAAGAGCACACAGGGAUAGAUAGAGCAUAAGAGUUAUACACUACACAUCUAACAAUCCUGAGACGGAAUCGUACCGUUUUGAAGUCCGAUACUGGAUUCAUCGGUGUUGAUGUUGUAAAGGAUGCCUUCGUAUCUGAUCUCGCUCUUGGAAGUCAAACUAAUCAAGCUCCCUACGUAAGAAUCUGCCGAGGAGGAGCUCGAUUUCGCGCCCGUGUUAUCAGUCGCCAUACCGGAUCUAUAUCUCUCUCUUUCGCCAAAUCCACAAACAAAGAGAGAGAGAAAUAAACCAGAGUCGAGAAAGGGCAAAGCAAAGAUCCCCUUCGAGAGAGAAAGCUACAGACAAUUAGGGUUUACUCUGAUUUGGGGGAGAUGAGAUCGAGAGAGAGCAUCUCUUUCUGAUUAUCCGUAAAAAAACCCCCAAGAAAAUAUGUAUAUUACCAUAAUAGCCUCGUCUAGUAACACUAGCUUUCAUCUUCUAACUAAUUGUAGACCGCCACGUGUCUAAGUACGGAGGGCCUCGCCGUCAUUCACCAAUGAUGUUCUCACAGCCAGUGGGCUACGAGCCACUCCAAUUGCACGGCUCGUGUUCGUAUUGAUUAGCCUGUAGGCUGUAUUUACAAGUGUAACCCUGUUCCUGUGAAUAAUUUACGCUCGGAGCCUGUGUUGAUUGGUUCCGUAAAACGACUGCGUUUAAGCUUAGCGACAACCACGAAGACGCACAACAAAGCCACUGAUUAGCCUUUUUCUUAUGAAGCAUUGUGCUUUAACAUUUUUUUUUAAUAUUCAUGCUGCUUUGAUACAUAACCUAUUGUUUUCUUGUAUUGACUUUUCUUGUAAAGAGCUUAUCUUCCUGUUCAAUACUGGCAACUCAGGAGAAGACCAAUACAGUUUAAUGAGGCUAACUAAAUAAAGACUUUUUUUAUUCACUGAUCUUUGUUGUUCUACAAUUACACAAACCGAGAAUGACAAAAGAAUCAACGUGUAUUGCAAACUGGAAUACAGUUCAUCAUCAUGUUCAGAGUUCAAAACCACUCCGUAUCUUCCAAGUAUAAUGGUUCUUCUGUCUCCUUGUUAAGUACUAUACACAGAAGGAGUUUACUUCACUCUGCUCUACUGGGAGAUAGAGAGAGUGAAAGUUAGAACGGACUGACCCAGUGAGCCAACUUCAACAUGAAUUCAGGCACAAGACGCCUUCUGUCUACGCUUUUACCAACCACUUCUGAGUCGCCUCCCAGGACCACUGAUACUAUAUCUUCAAACAUCUCAUCUACUCCACCUCUCAUUGGAUCCUAACAUAUAUAAACCAAGUUUCUAGAUCAAAUAUUCAGGUUCUUUUACGAAUAGACAUUCAAGACCUGCCAUUUUGUACCUGAAGAAACAGAUCCGUGUGUGUUUUCCCCUCGUAAAGGAUCACUUCUGCUUUACCUCCAAGUCUCUGGAGGGUUUCCGCAAAAGAUUUACUACAAAAAAAAAAAACAACGCACGAGAAGUUCAAUCACCAUAUCAACCACCUGAACUACAUGAGACAAGACAUGCACACACAAGGCUAUUGAAGUUUAGCCAUACCUUGCAUCUGAAGGGAUGGAGUAGUCAGCAGUACCAUGGAAUAGAAUAAUAGGUGGGAGACGAGCAAUAAUGUGUUUAAGAUUUGGAUUUUGCACUACUAGUUCAGGAGAAAACUGACUUAAUGAUUCCUCUCCUUCCAUGAUGCUGCGGAAAACAAAAGUCACACGUUAAACCUUAGGUUGCUCUACAGGUCAGGUGAGCAUCUUAAGCUAUUCCAAGAUUUGAUAUUAUACCUCAGGAAAAUGGAACGAUAGAGUCCCCUGCUAUGGAAGUGAUCUACAAGGCUCAGAAGGUUGUACCUGUAAAUCAUGAUCACAGAAAUUUCAAAGGAAAGUAAAACAGAUAAUUGUUAAGUGUAAAACAUUUUCUAUAACUUCUUAGUCUUUAGUUGGAUAUAAGACAUGAAUCUACUUGCUUCAUUAAGCUGCUCUUUGAAAUAACGCUAUGCGAUUAUCUACAACCAUUUCACGAAAAUUACUCGAAAAUAAACUUGUUUAUAACAGCUUAUUGAGACGUCUCAAUUCCAUUAUUCCAAUGUCAUUAUGAGAACUCACCAAAUGUCUGGAAUCAUACCAAAUACCGUUUGUCAAAUGUCAAUGAGUUUCUCUUCAGAUUCUGGAACUAAUUAUGUCCAGCCUGCUUUUUGACCGAAGAAAUAUACUAUAGAUUGUACCUCAGUAUCUAGUUUACGUAGCUCUGAGAACCUAGGCCUUGCAUUUUGGGAAUCUCGGUCCCCGGAGUUUGAUGAUAGGCUAUCGAAAAAGUCGUCUUUGUUGUAAACAGGCUACAUCAAUAAAACAAUUAAGGCAUAUGAGACCAGAGAGGGGGAUGGAACAUGGCGGUUUUACUUUAUUAUAAGUUUACUUGACUUACUUUGACCUCGACCUUAGGCAGCUCAGGUUCAUCAACGAUUGGGAAAUCAUCAUCACCAUCACCAUUGGUGCUCUUCCCAAGAUGACCCCAAACUUCAUCCUUAUUGAACUUUUCAUUCAUCGCCGUGAAGUCAAAAUCUUCAGUGAACUUCAUUACCUGGUGUGAUCGCUGCCAACAAGGAGGAUUAUUAGCAUACUUGGCUAUGAUUCAUGAGCUUACUUUAACUAGUAGAUGUUAGCAAAAACCAUUAAAUGCCUCGACACAUUCUAAAAAUGAGAGAGAAGAAUAUUACCCCUGCUCCUCUUCCCCUUCCUCUCCCACGUCCCCUGUAACCAUUAUAGGUUGGGAAGGAAUGCCCGUUUGGCUGAGAAAAAAAAAUCAGCAAACGAGAUCAACUAAUCAUCAAACAAUGAAGACUUGUAUGUAGACAUUCAAGAAGAAAUCUAAUACAGACCAAGGAAGGAACCAAGAGAGAUUUUCAUGCCUCUUUUACAAAGAAAAAAGAGGCUUAGGAUGGGUAUUACCACAGGUGCAAAUAUAACAGCUACAGGUUAUUCAAGCAAAUGGAAGAUCAUAUCAAGUUCGUUACUCCUCAAAAAAAAUUCUCUAGAAUUCAAGGGUCGUUCUCAUAUCAGUAAGUGAAGUAGCAAAUAUCGUUUAAAGGGAUGACAAGCAACUAAAUAGAUUUGGAAAUUUGUGUAAGUUCAAAACCUUAUGAGUUGGCCUUGCAGAGGAAGGCAAUGGCAGUAUUGGGGGUUGGGCUUCUGAUGUAACUGAAGCAGAUUGUUCCAAAGCAGCUGAUGAUGAUACUUGAACCACCUCAUCAUCUUUACCAGCGUUGUUAGAGGGUGGGGACAAAGAGACUGACGCAGAUCCAGACUGCAACAGUUGGCCAGGAGUAACCAACAAAGGUUUUGGCUUAUCUUGGCUGAUGGAACUAGAAACUUUAGAAUCAGGAGCAGAUGCUAAUGGUGUUGCCUGUGGCACAGAUAUAGGAUCAGUAACUAGUGGCAAGCCAGCACUUGUAUCAGUGGCUCUAGUAGUUGGUAGAGAAAAGGGAAGCAAAUUAGUAUCCUGAGAUAGGGUAGGAGGUGCAGCAAUAGGAGCCUUGUUCGAAAACAAAGGAGGUGCCAUCUCUGAAGCUAGGGAAGGAGAUGGUGCUGACUGCAACGUUGAUUGGAGGCCUGAAGACAGCGUCAUAGGUAAACCAGUAAAAGGCAAAGAACUGGGUGCUAGAGCUUGAGAACUGCUACUAUAAGGAAACAGUGACGAAG